UACGGAGGGUGCAAGCGUUAUCCGGAUUCACUGGGUUUAAAGGGUGCGUAGGCGGGCAGGUAAGUCAGUGGUGAAAUCCUAGAGCUCAACUCUAGAACUGCCAUUGAUACUAUCUGUCUUGAAUAUUGUGGAGGUAAGCGGAAUAUGUCAUGUAGCGGUGAAAUGCUUAGAUAUGACAUAGAACACCUAUUGCGAAGGCAGCUUACUACGCAUAUAUUGACGCUGAGGCACGAAAGCGUGGGGAUCAAACAGGAUUAGAUA
rnacentral:rRNA from 1 species